rnacentral:rRNA from 1 species
GAUGAACGCUGGCGGCGUGCCUAAUACAUGCCAGUCGAGCGAACAGAUAAGGAGCUUGCUCCUUUGACGUUAGCGGCGGACGGGUGAGUAACACGUGGAUAACCUACCUAUAAGACUGGGAUAACUUCGGGAAACCGGAGCUAAUACCGGAUAACAUAUUGAACCGCAUGGUUCAAUAGUGAAAGGCGGCUUUGCUGUCACUUAUAGAUGGAUCCGCGCCGUAUUAGCUAGUUGGUAGGGUAACGGCUUACCGAGGCAACGAUACGUAGCCGACCUGAGAGGGUGAUCGGCCACACUGGAACUGAGACACGGUCCAGACUCCUACGGGAGGCAGCAGUAGGGAAUCUUCCGCAAUGGGCGAAAGCCUGACGGAGCAACGCCGCGUGAGUGAUGAAGGUCUUCGGAUCGUAAAACUCUGUUAUCAGGGAAGAACAAAUGUGUAAGUAACUGUGCACAUCUUGACGGUACCUGAUCAGAAAGCCACGGCUAACUACGUG